rnacentral:rRNA from 1 species
GUGAGGUAAUGGCUCACCAAGGCGACGACGGGUAGCCGGCCUGAGAGGGUGACCGGCCACACUGGGACUGAGACACGGCCCAGACUCCUACGGGAGGCAGCAGUGGGGAAUAUUGCACAAUGGGCGAAAGCCUGAUGCAGCGACGCCGCGUGAGGGAUGACGGCCUUCGGGUUGUAAACCUCUUUCAGUAGGGAAGAAGCGAAAGUGACGGUACCUGCAGAAGAAGCACCGGCUAACUACGUGCCAGCAGCCGCGGUAAUACGUAGGGUGCAAGCGUUGUCCGGAAUUACUGGGCGUAAAGAGUUCGUAGGCGGUUUGUCGCGUCGUUUGUGAAAACCAGCAGCUCAACUGCUGGCUUGCAGGCGAUACGGGCAGACUUGAGUACUGCAGGGGAGACUGGAAUUCCCGGUGUAGCGGUGAAAUGCGCAGAUAUCGGGAGGAACACCAGUAGCGAAGGCGGCUCUCUGGGCCGGUACCGACGCUGAGGAGCGAAAGCAUGGGGAGCGAACAGGAUUAGAUACCCUGGUAGUCCAUGCCGUAAACGUUGGGCACUAGGUGUGGGGGACAUUCCACGUUUUCCGCGCCGUAGCUAACGCAUUAAGUG